rnacentral:rRNA from 1 species
CAACGAUCGAUAGAGACGGUCGGGGGCAUUCGUAUUGCGCAGUUAGAGGUGAAAUUCUCCGAUCUGCGCAAGACGCACUAAUGCGAAAGCAGUUGCCAAGGACGUCCUCUUAUGAUCAAGAGCGAAAGUCGGGGGAUCAAAGAUGAUUAGAUACCGUCGUAGUCCCGACCAUAAAUGAUGCCGACUGAGCGUCGGCGACUCGGCCUUCGGCCGUACGUCGGCGCUCUUGAGAGAAAUUAAAGUCUUUGGGCUCCGGGGGUAGUAUGGUCGCAAGUCUGAAACUUGAAGGAAUUGACGGAAGGGCACCACAAGGCGUGGAUGUUGCGGCUUAAUUUGACUCAACACGGGGAAGCUUACUAGGUUUGGACACUUGAAUGAGGGACAUAUUGAAGCUCUUACCUUUUUUUGUGGAUGGUGGUGCAUGGUCGUUCUCAGCCCGUGGGUUGACCUGUCAGGUUUACUCCGGUAACGCGCGAGACCUCGGUUUGCUAAAUAGACGCGGCUGUCUCGGCACCCGCGCUCUUCUUAGAGAGAGUCUCGACGAGAGUCGAGGGAAGUCGAGGCAAUAACAGAUCUGUGAUGCCCUUAGUUAUCCUAGGUCGCACGCGCCAAACAAUGUCGCUUACAACGAGUUCCUAGGCCGACAGGCGUUCUCCCUCGAGCGCGGUCGCGGCAGACC